CCUCGAUGGUGAAGGGAGAGUCGGAGAGGCAAAUCCGCCGAUUCGUCUGCCAGGAAAAGCCUCUAAGGAGAGUUAGGUAACCGUACCACAAACCGACACAGGUGGACGAGAUGAAUAUUCUAAGGCGCUCGGGUGAUCGUAUGUUCAGGAACUAGGCACAUUAGCUCCGUAACUUCGGGAGAAGGAGUGCCCACGCAAGUGGGUCGCAGUGAAGAGUCUCAGGCGACUGUUUAACAAAAACACAGGUCUCUGCUAAGUCGAAAACGACGUAUAGGGGCUGACGCCUGCCCGGUGCCGGAAGGUUAAAGGGAGAGGUUAGCGCAAGCGAAGCUUUGAACUGAAGCCCCGGUGAACGGCGGCCGUAACGAUAACGGUCCUAAGGUAGCGAAAUUCCUUGUCGGGUAAGUUCCGACCUGCACGAAUGGCGUAACGAUCUGAGAACUGUCUUAACAUGCCGCCCGGCGAACUUGUGGUCCCGGUGAAGACGCCGGGUGCCCGCCACUAGACGAAAAGACCCCGUGCACCUUUACUAUACUUUUUCAUUGAUUUAUGGGGCCAUCUGCGCAGCAUAGGUGGGAGGCUUUGAUUCCAGGUUCUCGGACUUGGAGGAGCCAACGGUGAGAUACCACCCUGAUGGUUCUGUGAAUCUAACCUGUUCCCGUGAUCCGGGAAAGGGACAAUGGAAGACGGGUAGUUUGACUGGGGCGGUCGCCUCCUAAAUUGUAACGGAGGCGCGCGAAGCUAGGUUCAGGCUGUUUGGAAAUCAGCCGACGAGUGCAAAAGCAUAAACCUGGUUAACUGUAAGACCAACAAGUCGAGCAGAUACGAAAGUAGGCUUUAGUGAUCCGGUGAUUCUGUAUGGAAGGGUCAUCGCUCAACGGAUAAAAGGUACGCCGGGGAUAACAGGCUGAUCGGAGUCAAGAGUUCACAUCGACGCUCCGGUUUGGCACCUCGAUGUCGGCUCAUCGCAUCCUGGGGGUGUAGAAGCUCCCAAGGGUUAGGCUGUUCGCCUAUUAAAGCGGUACGUGAGCUGGGUUCAGAACGUCGCGAGACAGUUCGGUCUCUAUCUGUGGUGGGCGGAGGAAAUUUGAAGGGGCCUGCCCUUAGUACGAGAGGACCGGGGUGGACGAAUCUCUUGUGUUCCAGUUGUCUCACCAGAGGCAUAGCUGGGUAGCGAAAUUCGGUCAGGAUAAGCGCUGAAUGCAUAUAAGCGCGAAACCUUCCCUAAGAUGAGAUUUCCCAACGAAAGUAAGAAGAGCACUGGAAGACUACCAGUUUGAUAGGGCAGAUGUGUAAGCGUAGCAAUACGUUGAGCUUACUGCUACUAAUCGCUCGUUCGGCUUGACCAU
rnacentral:rRNA from 1 species